rnacentral:rRNA from 1 species
AUUGAACGCUGGCGGCAUGCCUUACACAUGCAAGUCGAGCGGCAGCACGGGGCAACCUGGUGACGAGUGGCGAACGGGUGAGUAAUGCAUCGGAACGUACCUUUCAGUAGGGGAUAACGUAGCGAAAGUUACGCUAAUACCGCAUAUUCUGUGAGCAGGAAAGCAGGGGAUCGCAAGACCUUGCGCUGAUUGAGCGGCCGAUGUCAGAUUAGCUAGUUGGUGAGGUAAAGGCUCACCAAGGCGACGAUCUGUAGCGGGUCUGAGAGGAUGAUCCGCCACACUGGAACUGAGACACGGUCCAGACUCCUACGGGAGGCAGCAGUGGGGAAUUUUGGACAAUGGGGGCAACCCUGAUCCAGCCAUGCCGCGUGAGUGAAGAAGGCCUUCGGGUUGUAAAGCUCUUUCGGCCGGGAAGAAAUCGCACGGGCUAAUACCCUGUGUGGAUGACGGUACCGGAAUAAGAAGCACCGGCUAACUACGUGCCAGCAGCCGCUGUAACAC